rnacentral:rRNA from 1 species
AUACAUGCAAGUCGAGCGGACAGAUGGGAGCUUGCUCCCUGUAUGUUAGCGGCGGACGGGUGAGUAACACGUGGGUAACCUGCCUGUAAGACUGGGAUAACUCCGGGAAACCGGGGCUAAUACCGGAUGCUUGAUUGAACCGCAUGGUUCAAUUAUAAAAGGUGGCUUUUAGCUACCACUUACAGAUGGACCCGCGGCGCAUUAGCUAGUUGGUGAGGUAACGGCUCACCAAGGCAACGAUGCGUAGCCGACCUGAGAGGGUGAUCGGCCACACUGGGACUGAGACACGGCCCAGACUCCUACGGGAGGCAGCAGUAGGGAAUCUUCCGCAAUGGACGAAAGUCUGACGGAGCAACGCCGCGUGAGUGAUGAAGGUUUUCGGAUCGUAAAACUCUGUUGUUAGGGAAGAACAAGUACCGUUCGAAUAGGGCGGUACCUUGACGGUACCUAACCAGAAAGCCACGGCUAACUACGUGCCAGCAGCCGCGGUAAUACGUAGGUGGCAAGCGUUGUCCGGAAUUAUUGGGCGUAAAGCGCGCGCAGGCGGUUUCUUAAGUCUGAUGUGAAAGCCCCCGGCUCAACCGGGGAGGGUCAUUGGAAACUGGGGAACUUGAGUGCAGAAGAGGAGAGU